rnacentral:rRNA from 1 species
UACGUAGGGUGCGAGCGUUGUCCGGAAUUAUUGGGCGUAAAGAGCUUGUAGGCGGUUUGUCGCGUCUGCCGUGAAAUUUCGGGGCUCAACCCCGAACUUGCGGUGGGUACGGGCAGACUAGAGUGUGGUAGGGGAGACUGGAAUUCCUGGUGUAGCGGUGAAAUGCGCAGAUAUCAGGAGGAACACCGGUGGCGAAAGCGGCUCUCUGGCCCGAUACUGACGCUCAUGUACGAAAGCAUGGGGAGCGAACAGG